rnacentral:rRNA from 1 species
UACGUAGGGGGCAAGCGUUGUCCGGAAUCAUUGGGCGUAAAGCGCGCGUAGGCGGCCCGGUAAGUCCGUUGUGAAAGUCAGAGGCUCAACCUCUGGAGGCCAAUGGAUACUGCCGGGCUAGAGUCCGGAAGAGGCGAGUGGAAUUCCUGGUGUAGCGGUGGAAUGCGCAGAUAUCAGGAGGAACACCAAUGGCGAAGGCAGCUCGCUGGGACGGUACUGACGCUGAGGAGCGAAAGCCAGGGGAGCAAACGGG